AUUGAACGCUGGCGGCAGGCCUAACACAUGCAAGUCGAGCGGAUGAAGGGAGCUUGCUCCUGGAUUUAGCGGCGGACGGGUGAGUAAUGCCUAGGAAUCUGCCUGGCAGUGGGGGAUAACGUCCGGAAACGGGCGCUAAUACCGCAUACGUCCUGAGGCAGAAAGAGGGGGAUCUUCGGACCUCUCGCUAUCAGAUGAGUCUAGGUCGGAUUAGCUAGUUGGUGGGGUAAAGGCCUACUAAGGCGACGAUCCGUAACUGGUCUGAGAGGAUGAUCAGUCACACUGGAACUGGGACACGGUCCAGACUCCUACGGGAGGCAGCAGUAGGGAAUAUUGGGCAAUGGGCGAAAGCCUGGUCCAGCCAUGCCGCGUGUGUUAAGAAGGUCUUCGGAUUGUAAAGCACUUUAAGUUGGGAGGAAGGGCAGUAAGUUAAUACCUUGCUGUUUUGACGUUACCAGCAGAAUAAGCACCGGCUAACUUCGUG
rnacentral:rRNA from 1 species